UACGGGGGGAGCAAGCGUUGUUCGGAUUUACUGGGCGUAAAGGGCGGGUAGGCGGCCACCGCAAGCCAGUUGUGAAAUCUCCGGGCUUAACCCGGAAAGGUCAACUGAUACUGCGGGGCUAGAGUGCAGAAGGGGCAACUGGAAUUCUCGGUGUAGCGGUGAAAUGCGUAGAGAUCAGUAGGAACACCAAGUGGCGAAGGCAGCUUGCUGGCAUGUAUCUGACGCUAAGGCACGAAAGCGUGGGGAGCGAACAGG
rnacentral:rRNA from 1 species